ensembl:miRNA
CAGUUAUAUUUGAAUUUCAGAUAAAGAAAGGAUGCAUUCUUUAGUGUAUCUGUUCCAUGCAAUAUCUGAGACAUACUUAUACUAAAAAAGUGUACAUUGUUUAUCUGCAAUUCAAAUUUAGC